rnacentral:rRNA from 1 species
CUCAAUGAUUUUUUAAAUUGCUGUGGUAUUUUGACUAUACAAAGGUAUUGUAAUAAGAUUUUAAUUGAAUGCUAAAAGAAUGGAGUUUCAAAGAAAAACUUUUUUAAAUUUAAAAAUUAAAGUUAUUUUAAUUUGUGCAGAAACAAUUAUAUAAAUUAUAGACAAGAAGACCCUAAGAAUUUAUGGGAAAUCCCCAUACAAUAAUUUUGUAUGGGGAUUUCCUUGGUUGGGGCAACCAGAAAAUACCAAAAACUUUUCUUUUAGCAAAAAGAUCCAUUAUUAAUGAUAAUAUGAAAAAAUACUCUAGGGAUAACAGCGUAAUAAUUUUUGAUAGAUCAUAUAGACAAAAUAGUUUGCGACCUCGAUGUUGGAUUAGGAUACUUUUUUAAUGAAGAAAUUAAAAAAAGAAGUUUGUUCAACUUUUAAAUUCCUACUUGAUCUGAGUUCAGACC